UGCCAGCAUCCGCUGUACUACUAGUUGUGCAAUCGUUAAUCGGAAUUACUGGGCGUAAAGCGUACGCAGGCGGUUUGUUAAGCAAGAUGUGAAAGCCCACGGCUCAACCGUGGAAUUGCAUUUGAUACUGCAUCGCUAGAGUAUAGGAGAGGGAAGUGGAAUUUCUGGUGUAGGAGUGAAAUCCGUAGAGAUCAGAAGGAACACCGGUGGCGAAGGCGACUUCCUGGACUAUUACUGACACUGAGGAGCGAAAGCGUGGGGAGCAAACAGGAUUAGAUA
rnacentral:rRNA from 1 species